rnacentral:rRNA from 1 species
GAUGAACGCUGGCGGCGUGCUUAACACAUGCAAGUCGAACGGAAAGGCUCCUGCUUGCAGGGGUACUCGAGUGGCGAACGGGUGAGUAACACGUGGGUGAUCUGCCCUGCACUUCGGGAUAAGCCUGGGAAACUGGGUCUAAUACCGGAUAGGACGAUGGUUUGGAUGCCAUUGUGGAAAGUUUUUUCGGUGUGGGAUGAGCUCGCGGCCUAUCAGCUUGUUGGUGGGGUAAUGGCCUACCAAGGCGUCGACGGGUAGCCGGCCUGAGAGGGUGUACGGCCACAUUGGGACUGAGAUACGGCCCAGACUCCUACGGGAGGCAGCAAUGGGGAAUAUUGCACAAUGGGCGCAAGCCUGAUGCAGCGACGCCGCGUGGGGGAUGACGGCCUUCGGGUUGUAAACUCCUUUCGCUAGGGACGAAGCGCAAGUGACGGUACCUGGAGAAGAAGCACCGGCUAACUACGUG